rnacentral:lncRNA from 1 species
GUGGGAAUGUGAGUAGUGACUGUUGAAGUUUCCGUGAUUCCACAGAUGGGAGGCCUAUGUGUUUAAAAUGAAGUAGAUUUUAUGCCCAGAGACACGGAACUUGGACCAUGAACUGUUUACCUUCAUGCAUGAUACUCACCUAUAACUUUUUUCCUUGGUAAUCAACUACUCACAUUAGUGAGACUGCACUAAGUUUGAAUGACAAGUUUUGUUUUUUUUUUUUCUUUUGUGAUCUUAUGAAGUUCUACAUGAGAUGAUAUGGUUUGCAGGAAUAGAUACUGUUCUUAAUUCUUGCUUCUUGUCUUCCAUAAAGGAAAAAGAAGCUAUCUUAAACUUCAUUGCAAAAUAAGUCCUAAGGGAAUGGGACUUUGCCUUUGUCAUAAAAUCUGCAUGUUAAUAGGUCAAAAGUCUCCUCCACUCUUUCACUACACCACUGUGGCUGGCAUUUUCAAUAGAACACAUGUGGAGGAAAAUAAGACACAAUUACUAAGAAAUUAACAGGUGAAAAUGGGAAAUUGAUUUGAACUGCAGUCAAACGUUGUUUGGUUUUGUAUCUUUCAUCUAAUAAUCAGUCUUUUGUGGUGGACUCCUGAAUCUUUCCCUUCAUAGGUUUACCAUCUGACUUACUUUAAUUUAAAGCAAUCUUCACAGAACCACAGAAUGGCAGAGUUUGGAGGGUUGCUCUGGAGGCUAUCUGGUCUAAUCCCCAUUUUGGCAGUGACACCCAGAGCAGACUGACUAAGACCUUGAAAUUAAGCAAUUAUUAAUGUAGUUGCUUUGUCUUAGGAUCUGCCAAUAGCUGUUUUCCAGUGUAAGGUCAAAAUGUCAGGCUAUCUAGUUCAUUCAGAACUAUGGGAAUGCAAAAUCUUCAAUUAGCUGUAUUCAAUUUGCUGUAUUGAAUGGAGUCUGUCAGAGGGACAUUCUCUAAACAUGUUACUGGAGCCUGUGCUUGGAACAUGCCAGCAAUAUCAACUCUUUUCUCAACAAUCCACUGGCUCAAGUGUUCUCUGAAUAGAGCUCAGACAUUCUCCAAACUAUUUUUCCUGCAAUUAUUCCAGUAAGUUUUGUGAUGAAACACUUUUGUUUGUUUGUUUGGCUAUGAAUGUUUCUUGGUUUUCCC